AUUGAACGCUGGCGGAAUGCUUUACACAUGCAAGUCGAACGGCAGCACGGACUUCGGUCUGGUGGCGAGUGGCGAACGGGUGAGUAAUACAUCGGAACGUGCCCAGUCGUGGGGGAUAACGUAGCGAAAGCUACGCUAAUACCGCAUACGAUCUACGGAUGAAAGCGGGGGAUCGCAAGACCUCGCGCGAUUGGAGCGGCCGAUGGCAGAUUAGGUAGUUGGUGGGGUAAAGGCUCACCAAGCCGACGAUCUGUAGCUGGUUUGAGAGGACGACCAGCCACACUGGGACUGAGACACUGCCCAGACUCCUACGGGAGGCAGCAGUGGGGAAUUUUGGACAAUGGGCGCAAGCCUGAUCCAGCCAGUCCGCGUGCAGGAUGAAGGCCCUCGGGUUGUAAACUGCUUUUGUACAGAACGAAAAGGCUCUGGUUAAUACCUGGGGCUCAUGACGGUACUGUAAGAAUAAACACCGGCUAACUACGUGCCAGCCGCCGCGGUAAUAC
rnacentral:rRNA from 1 species